GCCGACUCGAGGGAGCGCCGUUCUUCUCUCUCUCUCUCUCUAUCUCUCAAAACACAAUAACACAAAACUUUCACUUUGGUGUUUAUUACCACAGUUUUGGUGUCACUGUGUUUCUUCGAUUCUACACGUUGACAGUGUACGCUGUUGGUCUGACAAUCUCUGCAAGGCUCCACGUCCAACUUUCCUUCUCAUCUUGCAGAAUCAGGGAAGGAACCUCCUCAUCACAACCUUACCUCAAGUAGUUGUCAGUAUAUAGUAGGAGUCCAGCUUGACAUCCAUACACAGCAGCGGCUGUGAAAUGUCCCUUUUCAUUGCUCUGUCAAAGUUGGACAUCGGCUACUGAUGUUUGACAAGAUUAAUUAUUUUGGUGUUGACUUCAAGGUGGAGGUAGAAAACACAAAUGUUGCUGCCGUUUGAGCAAGAAGUGUGGAGGAGAACAAUCUUG